rnacentral:rRNA from 1 species
GGUUAGUAACACGUGGAUAACCUACCUAUAAGACUGGGAUAACUUCGGGAAACCGGAGCUAAUACCGGAUAAUAUAUUGAACCGCAUGGUUCAAUAGUGAAAGACGGUUUUGCUGUCACUUAUAGAUGGAUCCGCGCCGCAUUAGCUAGUUGGUAAGGUAACGGCUUACCAAGGCAACGAUGCGUAGCCGACCUGAGAGGGUGAUCGGCCACACUGGAACUGAGACACGGUCCAG